rnacentral:rRNA from 1 species
AUGGCCAUACCAUGCUGAAUAUACCGGUUCUCGUUAGAUCACCGAAGUCAAGCAUCAUUGGGCGCGGUCAGUACUUGGGUGGGUGACCAUCUGGGAACACCGCGUGCCGUU